rnacentral:lncRNA from 1 species
UACCAUUAAAGAUCUAUGAUAUAAAAAAAUUACAUACAAAAUCUGAUAAAAAUAAAAAACUGCAUCAAUCACAUCGAUGCCCUAAAUCUGAUCUAACUUUUAGAUUAUGUCGGUAGAGUUCAGAACUCAUCACCUUUUCAUGGAUCGAUGAUCUCUACUGUUGAUAAGUAUGGUACAAAGCUCUUGCUGAUGUCGAGCAUUCACAC